AGUAAAUAGAUACCCCGGUAGUCCACGCCGUAAACGAUGAGUACUAGGUGUAGGAGGUAUCGACUCCUUCUGUGCCGCAGUUAAACACAAUAAGUACUCCGCCUGGGAAGUACGGUCGCAAGAUUAAAACUCAAAGGAAUUGACGGGGGCCCGCACAAGCAGCGGAGCAUGUGGUUUAAAUUCGAAGCAACGCGAAGAACCUUACCUAGACUUGACAUCUCCUGAAUAGUGUAGAGAUACAUGAAGCCCUUCGGGGCGAGGAAGACAGGUGGUGCAUGGUUGUCGUCAGCUCGUGUCGUGAGAUGUUGGGUUAAGUCCCGCAACGAGCGCAACCCUUA
rnacentral:rRNA from 1 species